GAUCCUGGCUCAGGAUGAACGCUAGCUACAGGCUUAACACAUGCAAGUCGAGGGGAAACGACAUCGAAAGCUUGCUUUUGAUGGGCGUCGACCGGCGCACGGGUGAGUAACGCGUAUGCAACCUGCCCGAUACCGGGGUAUAGCCCAUGGAAACGUGGAUUAACACCCCAUAGUACUUUUAUCCUGCCUGGGAUGGGAGUUAAAUGUUCAAGGUAUCGGAUGGGCAUGCGUCCUAUUAGUUAGUUGGCGGGGU
rnacentral:rRNA from 1 species